GACAUCAUCAUCAUUAGGUCCUUCCCGAAAAAUCUCUUGUAACCUGGAGAGCCCUAUCUCCUUCUGUGAGGUCAGAAGUGUUGUUGUGACACCACCUGCUUCUCAGAUAUUCCUUCAGUACAUCUAGGGUUUGUAACUGCCCUUUAAUUCAGAGUAAACAGCCAUUUUUUAGGGAGAGCAAAGAGGAUGAAAGGAUCCAAGAUGAGGAGAAGGAAGCUGCCCUUCUGUCAUGGUAUAAAAAAGGAAGAAAUACAUGGUCCACUGGAGAGCUCAGUGAAUCCUGGAUCCAAAGAAGGAGCCCAGCGAGGCACUUAACAUGGCGUAAGGUACACACGACUUCAUCUACAGCCUGCAUUCCACUCAAAGGACCUGCUUCCUCAAAGAACUGCAUCGCUUCAAGAAGAAUGAGAAACCUAACACCCACUCCAGGACAGCUAAAUUAUGUAUUCUUCAAAAAUGCAAUACCAUUCAUAGGAUUUGACUUUUUGGAUAAUGCAAUUAUGAUUGUUGCAGGAACCCAAA